CGCUGGCGGCGCGCCUAACACAUGCAAGUCGAACGAGUGGAAACCCUUCGGGGUAGAAGCUAGUGGCGGACGGGUGAGUAACACGUGAGGAACCUGCCUAUCAGAGAGGGAUACCGUUUGGAAACGAACGUUAAUACCUCAUAACGUAACGAGAUCGCAUGAUAAUGUUACCAAAGAUUUAUCGCUGAUAGAUGGCCUCGCGUCUGAUUAGAUAGUUGGCGGGGUAACGGCCCACCAAGUCGACGAUCAGUAGCCGGACUGAGAGGUUGAACGGCCACAUUGGGACUGAGACACGGCCCAGACUCCUACGGGAGGCAGCAGUGGGGGAUAUUGGACAAUGGGGGCAACCCUGAUCCAGCGACGCCGCGUGAGGGAAGAAGGUUUUCGGAUUGUAAACCUCUGUCGACAGGGAAAAUGAUGAUGGUACCUGUGGAGGAAGCCACGGCUAACUACGUG
rnacentral:rRNA from 1 species